rnacentral:rRNA from 1 species
CCAGUCUGCAUGGAGCCGACCUUGAAAUACCACCCUUUAAUGUUUGAUGUUCUAACGUGGACCCGUAAUCCGGGUUGCGGACAGUGUCUGGUGGGUAGUUUGACUGGGGCGGUCUCCUCCUAAAGAGUAACGGAGGAGCACGAAGGUUGGCUAAUCCUGGUCGGACAUCAGGAGGUUAGUGCAAUGGCAUAAGCCAGCUUGACUGCGAGCGUGACGGCGCGAGCAGGUGCGAAAGCAGGUCAUAGUGAUCCGGUGGUUCUGAAUGGAAGGGCCAUCGCUCAACGGAUAAAAGGUACUCCGGGGAUAACAGGCUGAUACCGCCCAAGAGUUCAUAUCGACGGCGGUGUUUGGCACCUCGAUGUCGGCUCAUCACAUCCUGGGGCUGAAGUAGGUCCCAAGGGUAUGGCUGUUCGCCAUUUAAAGUGGUACGCGAGCUGGGUUUAGAACGUCGUGAGACAGUUCGGUCCCUAUCUGCCGUGGGCGCUGGAGAACUGAGGGGGGCUGCUCCUAGUACGAGAGGACCGGAGUGGACGCAUCACUGGUGUUCGGGUU